rnacentral:SRP_RNA from 1 species
ACUGGGCACAGUGGUGCGUGCCUGUAGUCCCAGCUACACAGAAGGCUGUGGGUGGGAGGAUCGCUUGAGCCCAGGAGUUCUGGGCUGUAGUGGGCUAUGCCGAUCGGGUGUCCGCACUAAGUUCAGCAUCAAUAUGGUGACCUCCCAGAAGCGGGGGACCACCAGGUUGCCUAGGGAGGGGUGAACCGGCCCAGGUCAGAAACGGAGAAGGUGAAAACUCCCAUGCUGAUCAGUAGUGGGAUCUCGCCUGUGAAUAGCCACUGCACUCCAGCCUGGGCAAUAUAGCGAGACCCCAUCUCU